UUUGCUGCACACAAGUUGGAAAAAAAGAAAAAAUAUAUAAAAUAGUAAAUUAUACUUUUAUCUAUAAAAAUGUAUGAUCACUUCAAUGUGAAUUAAAAUGCAAUAUAAUCUUUUCUGUUUGAACAAGCGACGGACAUUUAAGCAAUCUGCAUUAUGGAUUACUUAUAUUUACAACGGAUAUAGCACAAAAUACGCGAGUCACAGUGUGACAUCGAUUUGUCACGAAAUUUAACACUGCUGCUGUGUAGCACAAAAGAGUUAAUUAGGAUGACUACAGAAAGAUAUUUGAUUCUAAAUGUUUUGGAGUUUUCAUUGAUAAAAUGUUUCAGUCACGUCAAAACAUUCUCGUGAAAAAGUAAGGACGCACAAAAGGUUGGAGUUUGCUUCAUGUUUAAAAGUGUAAAAACCAAUGUAAACAUGGUAACCCUGUUGAUCUCUACGCCCUGCUUGAGUUUCUCUCAAUCCUGUAACUUCGAAAUACAAAACUUAACAGACAAGACCAUUGAGGGAAAAAACCAGCUGAGUAUGGUAACUCCAAUGAAGGUAAUAGCUACGAAUUCCGUACCUCUUGCAAGUAAACGCUCUGUCAUUACACCACUACAAUACAUAUAUCUUACACAUUUAUUAUUACUUGUUAACUCUCAAAUAACAUUAAAACAUAAUAAUUUUAUAGUAAUUGAAUAAUAGAGUUAAAUAUUGUGUUACUAAAAACAGGACAUUUAUAUGAGGUAUAGUAAACAGAUUGAGCAAUGUGAUUUAAGAUGUAAACGGUUGCAUACUACAAUCAGUGCAAAAAAGUUGAUAUAGGUUAAAAACUAAACAUAAAUGUAAAAUUUGUGUACUCUUAUGUAAAGUUUAUAUAAUGAUUAGCAUAUUACAACUACCUGUCUAUAUUUAAAUACUA